GCAAGAGUAGUGAAGUGGUCAAACACGGGAGACUUAAGAUCUUCUCCUUCGGGUUCGUGGGUUCAAACCCCACCUCUUGCACCA
rnacentral:tRNA from 1 species